GACGAACGCUGGCGGCGUGCCUAAUACAUGCAAGUCGAACGAGAGCGACCGGUGCUUGCACUGGUCAAUCUAGUGGCGAACGGGUGAGUAACACGUGGGUAACCUGCCCAUCAGAGGGGGAUAACAUCCGGAAACGGAUGCUAAAACCGCAUAGGUCUUCGAGCCGCAUGGCUUGAAGAGGAAAAGAGGCGCAAGCUUCUGCUGAUGGAUGGACCCGCGGUGCAUUAGCUAGUUGGUGAGGUAACGGCUCACCAAGGCCGUGAUGCAUAGCCGACCUGAGAGGGUGAUCGGCCACAUUGGGACUGAGACACGGCCCAAACUCCUACGGGAGGCAGCAGUAGGGAAUCUUCCGCAAUGGAUGCAAGUCUGACGGAGCAACGCCGCGUGAGUGAAGAAGGUGUUCGGAUCGUAAAACUCUGUUGUUAGAGAAGAACAAGUGCUAGAGUAACUGUUAGCGCCUUGACGGUAUCUAACCAGAAAGCCACGGCUAACUACGUG
rnacentral:rRNA from 1 species